rnacentral:rRNA from 1 species
AUUGAACGCUGGCGGCAUGCUUUACACAUGCAAGUCGGACGGCAGCACAGAGGAGCUUGCUUCUUGGGUGGCGAGUGGCGAACGGGUGAGUAAUAUAUCGGAACGUACCGAGUAAUGGGGGAUAACUAAUCUAAAGAUUAGCUAAUACCGCAUAUUCUCUGAGGAGGAAAGCAGGGGACCUUCGGGCCUUGCGUUAUUCGAGCGGCCGAUAUCUGAUUAGCUAGUUGGUGGGGUAAAGGCCUACCAAUGCGACGAUCAGUAGCGGGUCUGAGAGGAUGAUCCGCCACACUGAGACUGAGACACGGCCCAGACUCAUACGGGAGGCAGGAGUGGGGAAUUUUGGACAAUGGGCGGAAGCCUGAUCCAGCAAUGCCGCGUGUCUGGAGAAGGCCUUCGGGUUGUAAAGGACUUCUGUCAGGGAAGAAAAGGCUGUUGCUAAUAUCGACAGCUGAUGACGGUACCUGAAGAAUAAGCACCGGCUAACUACGUG